UUUGAGUUCAUGGAGGGAGUGAAGAUCUGGUAACUGACUGGUAGAUAAGGCUGUCUCUUUUAACCCAAUAAUUCCAAGAUCAGCUCCAAUCUCCACCUCAGAGGUUGCCCUAYGUUUAUCAGAAGGGGAACAGGAAACUGAACAAUACUAUUGCAGGGGUUCGGGGAGAGCUGCAGUUGCAUCUGUUUCUGCCCCUCACCAAGCUGCAUUGUUGACAUCAGCAUCUUUGCAUUCUGCAUUAUGGUGCAAUGGAAGAAAGAGAAGAAAUCUGAAUGUCACAGCAAGCUGGACAAUGUGAAGAAUAAAGGUGUACAAGAGCUUAUAUUUAUUUUCUUGACGUAUAAACCAAGAAAAAUAAGGAGGAAGAAAAAUACAUAUGUCCCCAAAUUCCCAGGCUAAUGAAUAUGCCAAAAUGACUCAUUUUCUGUCAUGUUUUUAAAAAGACAUUGUGCCUAGCUGUUCUUCUGAUUUUGUAACUAGAAUAUAGUGGAUCAGAGCRAAUCUGUAAGAUUGCAUUAGCUGGAAUAUUCACGGGAACUGGGGAGGUAUAGCUCACAGCACGCCUUUUUCCUGGUAAAUGCAUGUGUAAUGCUUUACAAAGUUCCUUAAACUGUUGGGAAUGCUUAGAAACUGAGUGUAUUCUUUCCAAUCAGUUARUUAUUUUUCCUUAAUUGAAUUCAAACCUGAAUCACAAAUAGGUUGGACUUGGCCUGAGAAGUGGUGAGUUGGAGAGAUAUUAUUUUACAAUCAAUUUCCCUUUAAUUUCUACAUUGUGCUGUAGUGCUAUAGCCUACCCUGGCAAAUACAUUGAUUCUCGGUGUAAGGAGGCUGACUGCAGGGAGAGGCAAAAAAAUAGAAUGUGCCGGUCGGAUCUGUCUUCUAAAAUUGCUUUGUCCCAUGAGCUAUUUCAAACUGUUUCUUAAGAGACUCUGAAACUAAAUCACUUGGGAGACUUGAUCCCUCACUAUACAGAACAAGAAUAACUCUACCUGUGUUGCUGCUGACUGACUGAACACAGAAUUGUGAUUAGGGGCGUUUAUAGAAGUAUUAUCUGUCUACUUUGUAUUAUGCUUUUUUCUUGUGUUCACUGGAAGAGCUUCCAAAUGUUUGAGUGCAUGUGUCUGUUAACCUUGUUGACAGCAGGCAAAAGGAGCUGCCGGAGGAUGAAUUUGGUUCAUUUAUAUGUAUCUGCCUCUUAKUUAAUGGCAUACUGCUAUGUCCUUCCCUAGUCUUCUCUAAUGCUGCAUAAGAGCUAACUUCUGUGUGUGUCUUACACUUUCUAGGUUUCUGGUCAUGCAGUAUGUGGACUCUACUCCACUGGUGAUUCUAAAUGUGGAAGGAUGCUGUCCAGUUUAGCACUGGCAAAAACUUGGUUGAACAAAGUGAUUGUGAACAAGGUUACUCUCUAUGCAUUCCAGCAUGAUGCUUUUCUUAUACAAUGUCAUGGUAUUAAUUUGUGCAUGUCACAAACCUAGUUCUCAGACCUUCUUCAAGAAUUGCUUUUGGCAGUUGUUUCCUGUCUUCAGAUAUUGUAUAGAUCCUCCUGUCUUGUCAUUUGUGGUAAGAUUUCAUGUUAGGUCAAGAUGCUCAUUGUGGGAAAGAAUUCCUCCCUACUGUUUCCUGAGCUGUAAAGUCAACGUACUUAGGAAUGCAUGAAAUUGUCCUUAAUUAGCAGAAUUGCUAACUUCAGGUUUGSAGGUGGGAUUUAGGUAUUCUACUAAAUUCUGCUUUAAGAGUUGGAACUUGACUUUCAGGUCUAGAAUAAGUUUGCCUGGCUUUGAAUAGAUUUGGUUAAUUAAA